CCAGAGCCGAAAUCCCAGAGCAGUGAAAGAGGAGCCAGUGUCAUGGGGCUUCUGGUUUCAGGACACACUGGAAAUGUUCUCUGUGAACGUGGUAGCCGUCUCAGACCAGUCUGUGCUGGAGUUAUCCUGGCACCCAGCCUACAAUCAGAGGAAAUAUGCGGUUCAUCCAUGGAAUUUGGUUUUUCCUGAAGAACACUCCCCCAGUAAAUCACGUGUACC
rnacentral:lncRNA from 1 species